GGCGUCGAGCGGCGGACGGGUGAGUAAUGCAUAGGAAUCUGCCCGGUAGUGGGGGAUAACUUGAGGAAACUCAAGCUAAUACCGCAUACGCCCCAAGGGGGAAAGCAGGGGAUCUUCGGACCUUGCGCUAUCGGAUGAGCCUAUGUCGGAUUAGCUAGUUGGUGAGGUAAUGGCUCACCAAGGCCGCGAUCCGUAGCUGGUCUGAGAGGAUGAUCAGCCACAUCGGGACUGAGACACGGCCCGAACUCCUACGGGAGGCAGCAGUGGGGAAUAUUGGACAAUGGGCGAAAGCCUGAUCCAGCCAUGCCGCGUGUGUGAAGAAGGCCUUCGGGUUGUAAAGCACUUUCAGCGAGGAAGAACGCUUGUGGGUUAAUACCCCGCAAGAAGGACAUCACUCGCAGAAGAAGCACCGGCUAACUCCGUGCCAGCAGCCGCGGUAAUACGGAGGGUGCAAGCGUUAAUCGGAAUUACUGGGCGUAAAGCGCGCGUAGGCGGCUUGAUAAGCCGGUUGUGAAAGCCCCC
rnacentral:rRNA from 1 species